UGCCAGCCGCCGCGGUAAUACGGAGGGGGCAAGCGUUGUUCGGAAUUACUGGGCGUAAAGGGCGCGUAGGCGGUUUGUUACGUUAGAUGUGAAAGCCCCGGGCUCAACCUGGGAGGUGCAUUUAAAACGGGCAGACUUGAAUGCGGUAGAGGAUGGUGGAAUUCCCAGUGUAGAGGUGAAAUUCGUAGAUAUUGGGAAGAACACCGAUGGCGAAGGCAGCCAUCUGGGCCGUUAUUGACGCUGAGGCGCGAAAGCGUGGGGAGCAAACAGGAUUAGAUA
rnacentral:rRNA from 1 species